rnacentral:rRNA from 1 species
AUUGGGCGUAAAGGGCGCGCAGGCGGUUUCGUUAGUCCGAUGUGAAAGGCCCCGGCUCAACCGGGGAGGUGCAUGGGAAACUGCGGAACUUGAGUCCAGGAGAGGAGAGUGGAAUUCCACGUGUAGCGGUGAAAUGCGUAGAGAUGUGGAGGAACACCAGUGGCGAAGGCGGCUCUCUGGCCUGAGACUGACGCUGAGGCGCGAAAGCGUGGGGAGCGAACAGGAUUAGAUACCCUGGUAGUCCACGCCGUAAACGAUGAGUGCUAGGUGUUAGGGGGGAUGACCCCUUAGUGCUGAAGGAAACCCAAUAAGCACUCCGCCUGGGGAGUACGACCGCAAGGUUGAAACUCAAAGGAAUUGACGGGGGCCCGCGCAAGCAGUGGAGCAUGUGGUUUAAUUCGAAGCAACGCGAAGAACCUUACCAGGUCUUGACAUCCUCUGACCACUUUGGAGACAAAGUCUUCCCUUCGGGGACAGAGAGACAGGUGGUGCAUGGUUGUCGUCAGCUCGUGUCGUGAGAUGUUGGGUUAAGUCCCGCAACGAGCGCAACCCUUGAGGCCAGUUGCCAGCAUUAAGUUGGGCACUCUGGCGUGACUGCCGGUGACAAACCGGAGGAAGGCGGGGAUGACGUCAAAUCAUCAUGCCCCUUAUGGCCUGGGCGACACACGUGCUACAAUGGACGGAACAAAGGGUCGCGAAGCCGCAAGGUGAAGCCAAUCCCAGAAAGCCGUUCUCAGUUCGGAUUAGAGGCUGCAACCCGCCUCUAUGAAGGAGGAAUUGCUAGUA